AAACUUGCCUCUGGACUGUACCACUUCCAACUACCCAAUCCGACAGGCAAAGCUUAUUGGACCCCACCAGCGGCCCUGGAGAGCCUUGCGCCUUGGGCGCAUGGAGUCCUCCCGGCUACCGGAGGCUCCGGAGGUGGGGUCUUACUCACCGUGGAAGUCGGGAAAGCGGGGGGCCAUGAUCCCCGCGCGAAUCCAGUGCUCCAGCGGGACGGCCCCGGCGACAGCGGACGCCUUGAAGUGCUCUGGACCCGGCUGAGGCAGAAAACACUCCGUGACACCCCCAAGGUGAAGCAACCGGCUCCCCUACGGUCUUGACUCUCUGCGGAUGCGAACACCGGAGGAAGCAGGAAGGAGUCGGCUGCUUUUGUGCGGGGUCACAGCCCGCUAGCCCAG